rnacentral:rRNA from 1 species
UGGGGAAUAUUGGACAAUGGGCGCAAGCCUGAUCCAGCAAUGCCGCGUGUGUGAAGAAGGCCUUCGGGUUGUAAAGCACUUUUGUCCGGAAAGAAAACUUCUGCCCUAAUACGGUGGGAGGAUGACGGUACCGGAAGAAUAAGCACCGGCUAACUACGUGCCAGCAGCCGCGGUAAUACGUAGGGUGCGAGCGUUAAUCGGAAUUACUGGGCGUAAAGCGUGCGCAGGCGGUUCGUUAAGACAGAUGUGAAAUCCCCGGGCUUAACCUGGGAACUGCAUUUGUGACUGGCGAGCUAGUGUAUGGCAGAGGGGGGUAGAAUUCCACGUGUAGCAGUGAAAUGCGUAGAGAUGUGGAGGAAUACCGAUGGCGAAGGCAGCCCCCUGGGCCAAUACUGACGCUCAUGCACGAAAGCGUGGGGAGCAAACAGGAUUAGAUACCCUGGUAGUCCACGCCCUAAACGAUGUCAACUAGUUGUUGGGGAUUCAUUUCCUUAGUAACGUAGCUAACGCGUGAAGUUGACCGCCUGGGGAGUACGGUCGCAAGAUUA